rnacentral:rRNA from 1 species
AUUGAACGCUGGCGGCAGGCCUAACACAUGCAAGUCGAAUGGUAACAGGAAACAGCUUGCUGUUUCGCUGACGAGUGGCGGACGGGUGAGUAAUGUCUGGGAAACUGCCUGAUGGAGGGGGAUAACUACUGGAAACGGUAGCUAAUACCGCAUAACGUCGCAAGACCAAAGAGGGGGGACCUUCGGGCCUCUUGCCAUCAGAUGUGCCCAGAUGGGAUUAGCUAGUAGGUGGGUAACGGCUCACCUAGGCGACGAUCCCUAGCUGGUCUGAGAGGAUGACCAGCCACACUGGAACUGAGACACGGUCCAGACUCCUACGGGAGGCAGCAGUGGGGAAUAUUGCACAAUGGGCGCAAGCCUGAUGCAGCCAUGCCGCGUGUAUGAAGAAGGCC